GGCCCGUUGGUCAAGCGGUUAAGACACCGCCCUUUCACGGCGGUAACACGGGUUCGAAUCCCGCACGGGUCACCA
rnacentral:tRNA from 1 species